AAAACCUUCCCAUCCAUAAAGGGCUCCUGAUCGCUCAAAUCUCAGUCCCUCAGAGUACCAGACGAGAGUGAGAGCAGAUCUGAGAACAUGAGAGAUGAGAAACAGAGAGAAGGUCUGGAAAUCCUAACAAUGGCAUUGGCUCUGUGAUCGGAGCCUUCGUUGGAGAUCAGAGACAUGAGCGUGAAGAAAGAGAGAGACGACGGGGCAUGAAGAAAAGCUCCUCCAAUGCGAUUCUUGUUUUGCGAGGUUUAACGCCUCGAUGGCCGCCAUUGAUCCACGAUCGGAUCUGUUCAAGAGCUCACUGUUGAAAUCGCGUAGUAAUUAACACCAAGACCAGAGAUCUGAUGGGGCUAGGUACAUUCCAUGUCAGCUUGCUCAAGAUGCGAAAGAGUGCGAUGUGGAUUGAUAGGCACUGACAGUGGGCCUUCCUUUAUCUUUAAGGAUAUCUAAAACCAGAGGCUACCAGGAUUAAGCCUCAAAUUUCCGUCUUCUAUUUUUGAGUGCUGCGGAUUGUAGUUAUUACUCGUCUUGUAUGCAUGGUUUUCUUUUUCUUUUGUUAGUCCCAAAGAUUUGUUGGAUCGAUGAUUGCGACCCGCAAUACUAAAUUUGGCGUCGUCAAGCUUAAGGUUAUAUUAUAAAAGACCAAAUUGGACCA